GCACCUUCUCUUCACCAAGAGACAGCCAGGAAUAGAAUACCAUGUCCUGAGAAGACCCAAAAGCAACCAAGUGGUAUCCAACCUUGCCAUCCCCCUCUGCUUGCCCAUGAUUAAGAAAAUGGCUCCUACGUCAACAGCCCUUAAAUCUGGGGCCGAAUGCUCGAUUUCUAUGACAGCGGCCCCAGCCGGGAAGAUAUCAUGGGAUGAAAGCAGAUGUGCGGUGAUGGCAUGUACAGCAGGAAUGAAUGCUGUAACUGUUUCAUUGAUUCAAAUUCAUAAAAUAAUUCUGGUUU